GACGAACGCUGGCGGCGUGCUUAACACAUGCAAGUCGAACGGACAGGCCCUGCUUUUGUUGGGUGCUCGAGUGGCGAACGGGUGAGUAACACGUGAGUAACCUGCCCUUGACUUUGGGAUAACUUCAGGAAACUGGGGCUAUACCGGCUAGUGACUCCUUCUACAUGGUGGUUGUUGGGAAGUUUCGGCGUUUGGGGAUGGACUUACGGCUUAUCUGUUUGUUGGUGGGGUAGUGGCUUGCCAAGGCUUUGCCGGGUAGCCGGCCUGAGCGGGUGACCGGGGACAAUGGGACUGAGAGACGGCGCAGAAGGCUACGGGAGGCAGCAGGGGGGAAUAUUGCACAAUGGGCGGAAGCGUGAGGCAGCAACGCCGCGUGCGGGAUGACGGGCUUCGAGUUGUAAACCGCUGUGGCCUGUGACGAAGCGGGAGUGACGGUAAUGGGUAAAGAAGCACCGGCUAACUACGUG
rnacentral:rRNA from 1 species